rnacentral:lncRNA from 1 species
AUUUUAAUUUAGAAAUUUUUCUUCUGGUUCUGACACAGGAGAGAAUUCGAAAUUUUAUCAAGUUUGUAAGCGUAAAUAUUUAUAUGCUUUAACAUUAUCCGUAAUUAAAAUUCAUCUGACACGCUUAGAAAUUUGUUUUCGGAAUAUCUUUCCAACUUUUUAAAAUUUGAAGAACUGGAGAAAGUAAAUUUUGCACAGAAAUUCUUCUUUAUAUAUAAGAUGUUUUUAUUUCAGUAUUUUCAGCGAAACAGGCCACCUCAGCUUUGUUUUACGGAGGCUAAACUUAAACCUGUUUUUGAAUCUAAGAAAAAUAAAGAUAUUUUUCCAACGAAGAUGGGUGAUCCUACUUUCCAGAAUCAAUUUUUCUUUUUUUUUAUAUACACAACUAGUUGAAUUUUUAUAAGAACUUGUGCGUUUUUAUAAACAGUUUUGGAAGAUCUGUUUACGUUAAUCAGAAAUUUUAAAACUUACUUUUCGAUAGAUGAUCAAAAUAGUCGCAUAUUUGUGACCAUAAUACUCGAAUGUCCAUUGAAUAAUUUAACUUCUUACGUUACUUAUUCAUACCUACCACGAUUAUUUGCCUAUUAAGAUGUUUAUUCAGUAGAAAGUUUUGUGGUUAUAACGUAUUAGGUUGCAUUUUAGCUGUGACGGAGAAUUAAGGAGUGCAGACCUAAUUUGGAAAAAUAUAUCCUGCCAAUCGACGUUAUAGAAAGGCAGAAAGAAGCGCCCAAGAUAGGUAUCCUUCCGAAAAACGGGGAUAAAUCAAUCACGUAUAACACUCAUUGACCAGAUGAGGGAAUAUGAGGUGGACAACAGUCCCCAGCUGCCUGACAUGGUGACCACAGGAAGAAGAAAAAAGCCUCUGAAAUGCGGACGGUCUUGUUAGACAGAAGUCUAAUUGACUAUUUACUGCAUCUCGAGUUUUAUAGCAAAAUAAGUUAUUCGGGACCUUAUCGGGACCAUCUAACCCCAGAAAGUAAAAUGGAGCUAGAAGUUGAUGGCUACUUGCUAGUAGUAAAUUUAUCACUGGUGAAAGAUGGAAAUCUAUGUAGAAAUAUCGAGAUUUUGCUGAUUAGUUAAAAAACCAUCAGUCUUCGAAAGUAAUAUUCAGAAACUGCUGAUCAAACAGACGUCGCACCUGCUUGAAUUACGUAAACGUGUUUCAGCUGCACCGAACAACGACAGAAUUGUCGAACAGGAAACAUUUGACACCCUUCAUUUGUUUCACUAGUUAAUGCUAUAAUCUAAAAUUAUCUCUAGACGUUCUUCUCUUCUUUAUCUGAUUUUUCGAAACUUUCCGAAUUUUUAAUUACGUUACAAACAAAAGAGAACGAUUUUCAUAAUCCGCUUACAGAUUUCUUUCAGAUUAUCAAGGUAAAAGCAGGUGUAUUUUUAAGGUUGGGAGUGGAAAAUUUUAAUUUUUCUUGUGACAGCUUUAUCGUCAGAUGUUUAGCGAUAAUUUUGAUAGGUUUUUCAUUACUAGAGAUAUUCGAAUCUCAGAAAGUCAGAUAGAGAUGUCAAGCCAAAAUUAAAACGAUUUAAAUUUUGUACUGGGUGGCCACAUACAGCGAUUUGAUCUAUUUAUAUAUACAUGGCAUGUAUUACCUCGAAGAAAAGGUUAAUAAAAUUGUAAAUUUCGUUAUAAAAUUUCAUUUUUAUCUCAUCCAUCGUCGAUGCUAUAUAAAUUCAGCUAAAAAAUUUUUCCCAUAAAAAUUCUCUCAAUUUAAAAUGUAAAUCAUGCAUAAAGAGGAUAAAAAUGGAAUGUAGUCUUUGUUUCUUUGUUG